UUAGGAUUUUCCAGUCUUGCCUAUUUCUGUCAAGUUUACCUGAGGUGACCGAACUCCGAAGGCCUCUGGGACAGUAGCGCGAUUGGCAGUUGCUGGUCUCUACUUUGUCUUUUUCUCCCCCUUUCCUUGAUUUUGAUCUGUCAUCCUUACAGUCCUGGUCAGUGGUGCUACUGCAGGUACAAUAGGCAAUCCAGUUGCUAGUCACCCACUGCUGCCCCUGCAUUGAAGAAGUGGGAGCACUGAAAGGGUGCAGUGAGACUGUGUGUGACUCAGCUGGAGGGCCAGGUCACUGAAAACCUGCUUGAGAAGUUUAACUAUCAACAGGGGUCACUGCAAGCAGAGCAAAAGUGAGAGAGUGCAGGUGCAGACACACCUGGCCAGCAGGGGCACUCACUUGAGUAAGAAGAAAAAAAUUGGAAAAGAAAGGCCUAAUGAAAGUGGAGAGUAAUGGUGCCAGACAUAGGAUGUGACCUGUCAAAGUACUGAUCUCUGGAGAAAGCUGUAGGGAUCUUAGCCCAGUUGGCAGCUACUGUUGAAGCUUCUUACCCC